rnacentral:snRNA from 1 species
GAAGAGCCCAGCUUGAAA